GCUCCAGUUGGAUUUGGUU
rnacentral:miRNA from 1 species